GAUGAACGCUAGCGGCAGGCCUAAUACAUGCAAGUCGAGCAAACUGAUUAGAAGCUUGCUUCUAUGACGUUAGCGGCGGACGGGUGAGUAACACGUGGGCAACCUGCCUGUAAGACUGGGAUAACUUCGGGAAACUGAAGCUAAUACCGGUUAGGAUCUUCUCCUUCAUGGGAGUUGAUUGAAAGAUGGUUUCGGCUAUCACUUACAGAUGGGCCCGCGGUGCACUAGCUAGUUGGUGAGGUAACGGCUCACCAAGGGAACGAUGCAUAGUCGACCUGAGAGGGUGAUCGGCCACACUGGGACUGAGACACGGCCCAGACUCCUACGGGAGGCAGCAGUAGGGAAUCUUCCGCAAUGGACGAAAGUCUGACGGAGCAACGCCGCGUGAGUGAUGAAGGCUUUCGGGUCGUAAAACUCUGUUGUUAGGGAAGAACAAGUGCAAGAGUAACUGCUUGUACCUUGACGGUACCUAACCAGAAAGCCACGGCUAACUACGUGCCAGCCGCCGCCGUAAAAC
rnacentral:rRNA from 1 species